CCAACAUCAGUCUCCAACAAGACAUAGUCAGAACAUUGAUAACAACUAAGUUGAAAGAUCACGAUGAAAUUCAUUUCUAUCAUCUUUUUGAUUGUUUUUGCCCUCGUGGCCCUCCAAGAUGUCGCAUUCGCUUGCAUCAAGAACCGUGAUGGUUGCCAGCCAGAUGGAAGGCAAGGAAACUGUUGCUCUGGAUAUUGCCACAAGCAACCUGGAUGGGUUGCCGGUUAUUGUAAAUAGAUAUGCCUAAAUUAUCAGCUAAUGGACUGAAUAUAUUCUAACAAAUUUUUCA